AGAGUUUGAUCAUGGCUCAGGACGAACGCUGGCGGCGUGCCUAACACAUGCAAGUCGAGCGGGAACCUCGGGUGGGGUAACCCACCUGAGGCGAGAGCGGCGAACGGGUGAGUAACACGUGGGCAACCUGCCCCAGACACUGGGAUAACCCCGGGAAACCGGGGCUAAUACCGGAUACCCCGGCCGGAUCGCAUGGUCCGGUCGGGAAAGCCCCGACGGUCUGGGAUGGGCCCGCGGCCUAUCAGCUUGUUGGUGGGGUAACGGCCCACCAAGGCGACGACGGGUAGCUGGUCUGAGAGGACGGCCAGCCACACUGGGACUGAGACACGGCCCAGACUCCUACGGGAGGCAGCAGUGGGGGAUCUUUUUGCUAUGGGCGAAAGCCUGACCCACCGACGCCGCGUGGGGGAUGAAGGCCCUCGGGUUGUAAACCCCUUUCGGCAGGGACGAAGCGGAAGUGACGGUACCUGCAGAAGAAGCUCCGGCUAACUACGUGCCAGCAGCCGCGGUAAGACGUAGGGAGCGAGCGUUGUCCGGAUUCAUUGGGCGUAAAGCGCGCGUAGGCGGCCACGCAAGUCGGUUGUGAAAUCCCGGGGCUCAACCCCGGGACUGCGUCCGAUACUGCAUGGCUCGAGGCAGGUAGGGGAGAUCGGAAUUCCUGGUGUAGCGGUGAAAUGCGCAGAUAUCAGAGGAACACCGGUGGCGAAAGCGGUUCUCUGGGAGUAUCCUGACGCUGAGAGCGAAGUGUGGGGAGCGAACAGGAUUAGAUACUCUGGUAGUCCACACGUAAACGUGGGGGC
rnacentral:rRNA from 1 species